GGGCAGGUUUAGUCGAGUUUCAAGAUGGCGUCAAGUAGUUGCAACAAAUAAAAGUGAUACAAAUAAACUGGUAUUUGACAAAACAGCCGAAGAAUAAAGCUGACAAGGGGAAUUUAUUAUUGCAUGUAUUUCGGAAUCAGCCAAUAUUGUUCAUGUGUAUAUUUGGUCCUCAAAUCUCUUCAACUUCGUACUUUAUUUGACCUUUUAUAACAUUUUUGAUUCGAGCGUCACUGAUGAGUCUUUUCACGGUAGACGAAACCCGCGUCUGGCGUAAAUAUUAAAUUUUAUUCCGAGUAUCUAUGAUGAGAUUAUUAUCAGCUGUCGGUGGUGGUUAGAAAUAAAAUAGAAAUUAAUUGUUUUUCUUUGUAACGAUUUUUUUACAUUUUUUUUUUUAACUCACUAACAAACUAUUUUUCAAAAGCAAACAGGAUCAGGACUUUUCUUUGUGAAACACUAUGUAAUAUUUUUUUUAUUUUAAUGCUCAGCAAAAAACAAUUUUUUCACCUCAAUUAUAAUAGUCAACUCGAUGGAAGAUUUUGGACUUCGAUUCGGAACGGUUGCGCACAUGCGCAUUAGCACUGACCUUUCAACUAGAGUUAACCCGAGUUGGACGAAUCGAAGUAGGCCAUAUGGUCGGACCAUAUGAGUAUAAUACUCGUUUGGUUAUUAACGGGCCGGACCAUAUGAGUAUUUGGACCAUACAGGUACUUUUAAAAAGUUUCAAUAAUACACAAACGUUUUAAAAAACAAUGAUGGUUACAUGACAAUGUAUUAUUUUUAUAAUUCUAAUACUACGUAAAAAUUGAAUAUUGAUGCCAUAGUUAGUUUUUCUUCGCUUAUUGCAUUCUUGCAUGUAGGCUUGGGGUUACAUUUACU
rnacentral:lncRNA from 1 species